rnacentral:piRNA from 1 species
UNGAAGGGCCAAAGGCUAAAAUUGCUACAAC